rnacentral:rRNA from 1 species
UACGGAGGGUGCGAGCGUUGUCCGGAAUCAUUGGGCGUAAAGGGCGCGUAGGUGGCCCGGUCAGUCCGUGGUGAAAGCGCGGGGCUCAACCCUGCGUCGGCCAUGGAUACUGCCGCGGCUCGAGCACUGUAGAGGCAGGCGGAAUUCCGGGUGUAGCGGUGGAAUGCGUAGAGAUCCGGAAGAACACCGGUGGCGAAGGCGGCCCGCUGGGCAGGAAGGCUCGCAAGAGCCGGCUGACGCUGAGGCGCGACAGCGUGGGGAGCAAACAGG